rnacentral:rRNA from 1 species
UGCAGUCGAGCGAACGGACGAGAAGCUUGCUUCUCUGAUGUUAGCGGCGGACGGGUGAGUAACACGUGGAUAACCUACCUAUAAGACUGGGAUAACUUCGGGAAACCGGAGCUAAUACCGGAUAAUAUUUUGAACCGCAUGGUUCAAAAGUGAAAGACGGUCUUGCUGUCACUUAUAGAUGGAUCCGCGCUGCAUUAGCUAGUUGGUAAGGUAACGGCUUACCAAGGCAACGAUGCAUAGCCGACCUGAGAGGGUGAUCGGCCACACUGGAACUGAGACACGGUCCAGACUCCUACGGGAGGCAGCAGUAGGGAAUCUUCCGCAAUGGGCGAAAGCCUGACGGAGCAACGCCGCGUGAGUGAUGAAGGUCUUCGGAUCGUAAAACUCUGUUAUUAGGGAAGAACAUAUGUGUAAGUAACUGUGCACAUCUUGACGGUACCUAAUCAGAAAGCCACGGCUAACUACGUGCCAGCAGCCGCGGUAAUACGUAGGUGGCAAGCGUUAUCCGGAAUUAUUGGGCGUAAAGCGCGCGUAGGCGGUUUUUUAAGUCUGAUGUGAAAGCCCACGGCUCAACCGUGGAGGGUCAUUGGAAACUGGAAAACUUGAGUGCAGAAGAGGAAAGUGGAAUUCCAUGUGUAGCGGUGAAAUGCGCAGAGAUAUGGAGGAACACCAGUGGCGAAGGCGACUUUCUGGUCUGUAACUGACGCUGAUGUGCGAAAGCGUGGGGAUCAAACAGGAUUAGAUACCCUGGUAGUCCACGCCGUAAACGAUGAGUGCUAAGUGUUAGGGGUUUCCGCCCCUUAGUGCUGCAGCUAACGCAUUAAGCACUCCGCCUGGGGAGUACGACCGCAAGGUUGAAACUCAAAGGAAUUGACGGGGACCCGCACAAGCGGUGGAGCAUGUGGUUUAAUUCGAAGCAACGCGAANAACCUUACCAAAUCUUGACAUCCUUUGACAACUCUAGAGAUAGAGCUUCCCCUUCGGGANAAAGUGACAG